GCCAACGUAGCUCAGCUGGUAGAGCAGCUCACUCGUAAUGAGCAGGUCGUCGGUUCGAGUCCGACCGUUGGCUCCA
rnacentral:tRNA from 1 species